rnacentral:rRNA from 1 species
AUUGAACGCUGGCGGCAGGCCUAACACAUGCAAGUCGAGCGGAUGAAGGGAGCUUGCUCCUGGAUUCAGCGGCGGACGGGUGAGUAAUGCCUAGGAAUCUGCCUGGUAGUGGGGGAUAACGUCCGGAAACGGGCGCUAAUACCGCAUACGUCCUGAGGGAGAAAGUGGGGGAUCUUCGGACCUCACGCUAUCAGAUGAGCCUAGGUCGGAUUAGCUAGUUGGUGGGGUAAAGGCCUACCAAGGCGACGAUCCGUAACUGGUCUGAGAGGAUGAUCAGUCACCCUGGAACUUAGACACGGUCCAGGCUCCUAAGGGAGGCAGCAGGGGGGAAAAUUGGACAAUGGGCGGAAGCCUGAUCCAGCCAUGCCGCGUGUGUGAAGAAGGUCUUCGGAUUGUAAAGCACUUUAAGUUGGGAGGAAGGGCAGUAAGUUAAUACCUUGCUGUUUUGACGUUACCAACAGAAUAAGCACCGGCUAACUUCGUG